CUUUGUUUUACUUAUUCUAUUAAGCGGAAGCUUGCGCUCUUCGAGUAGCAAGUUUUGGAUUUACAGUUGGUGCUUGCACCGACCUAUCCGUGUAGAUGACAUUCUCAGGUGGGGAGUUUGGCUGGGGCGGCACAUCUGUUAAAUGAUAACGCAGGUGUCCUAAGGUGAGCUCAGUGAGAACAGAAAUCUCACGUAGACCAAAAGGGGAAAAGCUCGCUUGAUUUUGGUUUUCAGUACGAACACAAACUGCGAAAGCAUGGCCUAUCGAUCCUUUAGGUCUGUGAAAUAUACAGCUAGAGGUGUCAGAAAAGUUACCACAGGGAUAACUGGCUUGUGG
rnacentral:rRNA from 13 species